UAGGGUUUGGGCGAUUUUAGAAGUUGUUCCUGUCUCUCAUUUGCGGGUACGCCUGGAAGCUGGAGACUCUCUGCAGAAGAAAGAUCGAAAGUUCAAAUGGAGACUGCAAUCAAGAAAUCAAGACAAGGCUAAGACUUGAAAGGGCAGCAAUGGAAGAAUUUUGCAAGAUGGCCAAGAGCAAAGAUGUGUGAUUAGAGACCAAGGCCAGGACCAUCCACACCCUCGUAGUCUCCUAUGUACAGAUGUGAAGUUGGACAGUGAAGAUGGCU